rnacentral:snRNA from 1 species
CAGUGUUACACUGUUUUAGAAUUUGUCUAGCAGGUGGUUUUCUGGUUUUUACCAGACGUCCCCA